GACGAACGCUGGCGGCGUGCUUAACACAUGCAAGUCGAACGCUGAAGCUUGGUGCUUGCACUGGGUGGAUGAGUGGCGAACGGGUGAGUAAUACGUGAGUAACCUGCCCUUGACUCUGGGAUAAGCCUGGGAAACUGGGUCUAAUACUGGAUACGACAUUCCACUGCAUGGUGGUGUGUGGAAAGGGUUUUACUGGUUUUGGAUGGGCUCACGGCCUAUCAGCUUGUUGGUGGGGUAAUGGCCUACCAAGGCGACGACGGGUAGCCGGCCUGAGAGGGUGACCGGCCACACUGGGACUGAGACACGGACCAGACUCCUACGGGAGGCAGCAGUGGGGAAUAUUGCACAAUGGGCGGAAGCCUGAUGCAGCGACGCCGCGUGAGGGAUGACGGCCUUCGGGUUGUAAACCUCUUUCAGCACGGAAGAAGCGAGAGUGACGGUACGUGCAGAAGAAGCGCCGGCUAACUACGUG
rnacentral:rRNA from 1 species